rnacentral:rRNA from 1 species
AUGUCGGUGAUAGUUAAGGACGAGGAGGGGAAAACAUUUAUCUAUAAUAAAGGUCCUGACAGUAUAAUGUAUGAGAGGCUGUCAAACUCUGAGAGUACGUAUGGUGAAGCGACGCUGAAGCACAUAAAUGAUUACGCUGAUGCUGGUCUGAGAACACUAGUUCUUGCGUACCAUCAACUUGAGGAGAUUGAAUACGCUAAAUUCGAAAGGAAGUUCACAACAACUAAGAAUUCUGUCAGCACUGAUCGAGAUGAGCUGAUUGACGAGGCGGCGGAUUUGAUAGAGAGGGAUUUGAUUCUGCUUGGCGCCACCGCCGUUGAGGACAAGCUGCAAAAGGGGCGAUAUUUGGCCAAUUUUAUGAACUUAAAAUCAGAUGCUCUUUUUCACAGAUAUACCUGCAGUCUAUUCAGACAAGGGAUGAAACAAAUAACCAUCGCAUUGGAUACAACAGAUAUCAUUGCCUUGAGAAAGGUGGUGACAAAGGAGCCAUUAACAAGGUAG